rnacentral:misc_RNA from 1 species
UCUCCGUAGGUGAACCUGCGGAGGGAUCAUUACAGAGUUCAUGCCCUACCGGGUAGAUCUCCCACCCUAUGUUAUUAUUACUUUGUUGCUUUGGCGGGCCGUUAGGCUCCGGCCCGACUACCGGCCCCGGCUGGUAAGCGCCUGCCAGAGGACCCAAAACCCUGAAUAUUAGUGUCGUCUGAGUACUAUAUAAUAGUUAAAACUUUCAGCAACGGAUCUCUUGGUUCUG